rnacentral:lncRNA from 1 species
GGGAUGAACCCUGCAACUCCCAGAACAUGGAGAAGGCCAUUGACUGCUACCACAAAACAGUCCAGCACAACCUUGGGCAGGUCCAACUCGCCCUUAACAGGUUCUUCAAGGAGCACAAGUCCUUCCACAUCACAAGGAAUGAUACCCCCAGCAUCAACUUCACCAACGAGUUUGUCGGCUUCCUAAAGACCGAGCAGUGCAGCGAGGGCUAUGGGCAGACCAGGGAGCUGCAAAGAUGUCUCAACUGUUGCAUUGCAUGCCCACCAGGGACGUUCAGCCCUCCUAGGGCCAGCCAGUGUUCCCCAUGCCCUGUUGGGACCUACAGCCUGAUCUACGGGGUGGCAUUUUGCACUCCCUGCAAGGACAGCAUGAUCACCAUGGUGCCAGGUGCCAGCUCCAUCAUGGACUGUGGCAAGAAGGACAGGAACCAGCAAGUUGACUCCAUCGUGCACAGGAUCCCACUCCUGAUUCUCAUCAUCGUGCCAGCAAUACUAGCCCUCAACUUUCUCUUCAUCCCGAGCUCUUGUUACUGGUUUUGUCGAGAGUACAGGGUUUUGUCAAGAGACCCAGCCCCAGGAAACAUGGUGAUCAGUUUCUUCAGGAUCUCCAGGCAGCAUCUCCAGAAUGGACCUGCUGCUGGACCUGCCAGUAAUACCAGUGAUCUGGACAUCGGAGCAUCUCAGGGGGCUAAUGAGGAGCCCACAGAUAGAGCACCAUCCCCUGCCGUGAC